rnacentral:rRNA from 1 species
AACGAACGCUGGCGGCAUGCCUAACACAUGCAAGUCGAACGAAGGCUUCGGCCUUAGUGGCGCACGGGUGCGUAACGCGUGGGAAUCUGCCCUUUGGUUCGGAAUAACAGCUGGAAACGGCUGCUAAUACCGGAUGAUGACGAAAGUCCAAAGAUUUAUCGCCAGAGGAUGAGCCCGCGUUGGAUUAGGUAGUUGGUGGGGUAAAGGCCUACCAAGCCGACGAUCCAUAGCUGGUCUGAGAGGAUGAUCAGCCACACUGGGACUGAGACACGGCCCAGACUCCUACGGGAAGCAGCAGUGGGGAAUAUUGGACAAUGGGCGCAAGCCUGAUCCAGCAAUGCCGCGUGAGUGAUGAAGGCCCUAGGGUUGUAAAGCUCUUUUACCCGGGAAGAUAAAGACUGUACCGGGAGAAUAAGCCCCGGCUAACUCCGUG